rnacentral:tRNA from 1 species
GCUGAUAUGGCUUUCGGUUGGUGACGCCCUUGGUAAGGGUGGUCGGCAGUUCGAAUCUGCCUGCCAGCACCA